CUUUUAUAUAUUCAUAUACAUAAAAGAUCUCGUAUUGGAGCAUAGGUGGUAAUUAGUUGUUUUGCCUAAAGACAUCCUAGUCCAUCAGCUGUACAAGAUGAAGACUGCCCUGCUGUUCUUGGUCUGCCUUGUGGUGGUGAUCAAGGCUCAGUUCUGGAAUCCACUGACUCCAUGCCAUGACCACGAUCACGCAAUGGCCUGUCCGGACCCCGAAAACCAAUGUUGCCGCCAAGGCAUAUUCGGCAUCCAUACCUGUGAGAUUAAACCACACCACGGCUGGCCCUGUGAUCCCGCUGGACUUGCCAGCUGCCCCUGCAGGGAAGGUCUCUCGUGCGUGAUGAAGCCGAACACUACGGAGGCGUUGUGCGUCUCGGUGGACUUGGAGGGAUGAUGCCGACGUACACGUACCCAUGCAGACCGUCCUAGAUUCCACGACGCACAUUUACCAUAUGCAGACCCCACUAGAAUUAACAGAAAAUCAAAUCGGACGACUAGAUACAUAAACUAUUCGAAAUGAUGAUGACUAAGCGGUUAUUUGACUGUCCAGUUGUCCAUGUAAGGUCACUUUACAACCGGCCGUAUUGACUCUGCACUGUCAGAUAACAGCCGUUGGGGUUUCAUCAUUACGAGUAUUAUCAUGUACUUCUGGUCGAAACACAAGUGAUCACAGUCUUAUAAUAAACCAGCAUGAAUUCUGCCA